AACGCGAAGAACCCUUACCGGCCUUUCUUCCAAAUAACUUUCCGGAUGGUUGGUCCUUCGGGAACAUUGAGACAGGUUUCAUGGCUCGUCAGUUUGUGUCGUGAGAUUUGGGUUAAGUCCCGUGGCGAGCGCAACCCUUGUCCUUAGUUACCAGCACGUUAUGGUGGGCACUUAAGGAGACUGCCGGUGACAAACCGGAGGAAGGUGGGGAUGACGUCAAGUCAUCAUGGCCCUUACGGCCUGGGCUACACACGUGCUACAAUGGUCGGUACAGAGGGUUGCCAAGCCGCGAGGUGGAGCUAAUCCCAUAAAACCGAUCGUAGUCCGGAUCGCAGUCUGCAACUCGACUGCGUGAAGUCGGAAUCGCUAGUAAUCGCGAAUCAGAAUGUCGCGGUGAAUACGUUCCCGGGCCUUGUACACACCGCCCGUCACACCAUGGGAGUGGGUUGCACCAGAAGUAGCUAUUCUAACCUUCAGAGGACGGUACCAUCGGUUGAUCAUGACUUU
rnacentral:rRNA from 1 species